GACGAACGCUGGCGGCGUGCCUAACACAUGCAAGUCGAGCGAAGUGAGUACUACGGUACGAACUUAGCGGCGGACGGGUGAGUAACGCGUGGACAAUCUACCCUGUAGACUGGGAUAACACCUCGAAAGGGGUGCUAAUACCGGAGAAUGUCGAGAAGCGGCAUCGCUUUUAGAAGAAAGGAGAGAAUCCGCUAUAGGAGGAGUCCGCGUCCCAUUAGCUAGUUGGUGAGGGUAACGGCCAACCAAGGCGACGAUGGGUAGCCGGCCUGAGAGGGUGAACGGCCACACUUGAACUGAGACACGGUCCAGACUCCUACGGGAGGCAGCAGUGGGGAAUAUUGUGCAAUGGGGGAAACCCUGACACAGCAACGCCGCGUGAGCGAAGAAGGCCUUCGGGUUGUAAAGCUCAAUAGUAUGGGAAGAUAAUGACGGUACCAUACGAAAGCCCCGGCUAACUACGUGCCAGCCGCCGCAGUAACAC
rnacentral:rRNA from 1 species